UACGUAGGGGGCGAGCGUUGUCCGGAUUUAUUGGGCGUAAAGAGCGUGUAGGCGGCCAGGUAGGUCUGCUGUGAAACCUCGAGGCUCAACCUCGAGACGUCGGCGGAAACCAUCUGGCUAGAGUCCGGAAGAGGAGAGUGGAAUUCCUGGUGUAGCGGUGAAAUGCGCAGAUAUCAGGAAGAACACCCGUGGCGAAGGCGGCUCUCUGGGACGGUACUGACGCUGAGACGCGAAAGCGUGGGGAGCGAACAGG
rnacentral:rRNA from 1 species